GCGGCAGGCUUAACACAUGCAAGUCGAACGUGAGGUUACCUUCGGGUAGCUGAAAGUGGCAGACGGGUGAGUAACGCGUGGGAACCUACCUAGUGGUACGGAAUAACUCAGGGAAACUUGGGCUAAUACCGUAUGUGCCCGAAAGGGGAAAGAUUUAUCGCCAUUAGAUGGGCCCGCGUCGGAUUAGCUAGUUGGUGGGGUAAUGGCCUACCAAGGCGACGAUCCGUAGCUGGUCUGAGAGGAUGAUCAGCCACACUGGGACUGGGACACAGCCCAGACUCCUACGGGAGGCAGCAGUGGGGAAUAUUGGACAAUGGGCGCAAGCCUGAUCCGGCCAUGCCGCGUGAGUGAUGAAGGCCCUAGGGUUGUAAAGUUCUUUUGCCCGUGACGAUGAUGACGGUAGCGUGAGAAGAAGCCCCGGCUAACUUCGUGCCAGCCGCCGCCGUAAGAC
rnacentral:rRNA from 1 species